rnacentral:rRNA from 1 species
AGACAGAGGGGGCAAGCGUUGCUCGGAAUUACUGGGCGUAAAGGGCGCGUAGGCGGAAUGGCAAGUCGGUCGUGAAAUCCUUCGGCUCAACCGAAGAACGUCGAUCGAAACUGCCGUUCUUGAGGAUUGCAGAGGAGACUGGAAUUCCCGGUGUAGCGGUGAAAUGUGUAGAGAUCGGGAGGAACACCGGUGGCGAAGGCGGGUCUCUGGGCAAUUCCUGACGCUGAGGCGCGAAAGCGUGGGGAGCAAACG